CUUUCGAUCUCUGGAGAGCGGCGGCGGCGAUCAGCCGGCUGCCCACCGAAGGGGCGCGCGAGGCUCGGUAGCCACCCGUUGGCAACCCGCCGCGCAAUCUCUCAGGUACCGAGGACAGAGGGGUCAUC
rnacentral:ncRNA from 2 species